UAUUCUCUCUAAACAUCUAUUUUCUCUUUCUAAACCUAAAUCACCCGUAAAACAAAAGAAACUGAUUUUCUUCACGUCAAACCUUCUCAAUAUCCCAGAAAUAUUAUGGAAGACAACGACGGUAUUCAAAAUGGAGCAGGGAAUGACAUUCACCAGUUACAUAUUCCAAUUUGUGAUGAUACUGUCAAGCCAUACGUAGGUCAAGUAUUCAAUUUGUGACCUAUAGCCUUAAAAAGAGCACAAGAUGUUGUUCUUGUGAACAACGAUGCGUAGGCUUCCGCAGGCUUCACCACAAGCUGCUUGUAGUUGACAAGGGCUUCCUUUCUCUUUUCAUGCCUUGUUUUUUUUGGAGCAGCUGCCGGAACGUCUUCACCUCCACCAGUCACCACACCAACAUUCUGCUUGGUCGAUUCAUUGACUUUUCUCUUACGGGAAACACCUGUACAUGAGUGCAAUAAACAAAUUAAAUGUAAAGACACAUUAAACAUGUCAUAAACAA